GGGCGAUUGGCGCAGCGGGAGCGCAAAUGCCUUACAAGCAUUAGGUCGCAGGUUCGAAUCCUGCAUCGCCCA
rnacentral:tRNA from 1 species